rnacentral:rRNA from 1 species
UGGGGAAUAUUGCACAAUGGGCGCAAGCCUGAUGCAGCCAUGCCGCGUGUAUGAAGAAGGCCUUCGGGUUGUAAAGUACUUUCAGCGGGGAGGAAGGCGAUGUGGUUAAUAACCGCGUCGAUUGACGUUACCCGCAGAAGAAGCACCGGCUAACUCCGUGCCAGCAGCCGCGGUAAUACGGAGGGUGCAAGCGUUAAUCGGAAUUACUGGGCGUAAAGCGCACGCAGGCGGUCUGUCAAGUCGGAUGUGAAAUCCCCGGGCUCAACCUGGGAACUGCAUCCGAAACUGGCAGGCUUGAGUCUCGUAGAGGGGGGUAGAAUUCCAGGUGUAGCGGUGAAAUGCGUAGAGAUCUGGAGGAAUACCGGUGGCGAAGGCGGCCCCCUGGACGAAGACUGACGCUCAGGCACGAGAGUGCGGGGAUCAAACA